GUAGAAAGGUGGGUUAAUGUGACUGAAAACGGGCAGUACUGCAGAUGCAGCCAAGGUGAGCAAUGCACACGCCUCCUACUUGCACAGUAAAUCAUAGGUAACUCUUUGGUGGCAUGCAGGAUGCCAUUUCCUUCACACAUCUGAGCAGCUGAGUGACUCCAGUUUCAGAACAGCUCAGUGAAGUAAAAAGGCUUAGAAGUAUCUGAGUAAAGUGCAGAAAGCAGAGGGACAACAGGUGGCAAGAAGAGUCAGAGAAGGACAGAGAGGUGCAUGGAAGGGAAAUUACAGUUGCUAGCUUGACAUUAGUAUUAGGAUGUAAAUGAAUCAGGAAAAGAAGUCAGCUGGCAGGUUCCUUAGCUGACCCUCAUCUGUCACACUGGAGAGUUGUCAGAGCAUAACUGAGGUGGGGCUCUCAGACACCAUAAGUGGAAAGUACAACUAAACUAUAUUUUGCCUGGACUUUGUGAAAAUAUUUCCUAUGCAUCUUAAGAUGGAAAGACUGUUUCACUCAUCACUGCUUCCUCAGACAUGCAUCUAUGUUUCCAGCUCCCUGAUGCUCCCUCAGGGAUUUCUCCAGCUCUCCUGUAUCCCUCUGAAGCAGACUGACCUCUAGAGGCCUCUGGGCAGAGCUGGCACACAAUGAGCUGUGUGCCCUGCCCUGCACAUUUGCAAACCUUAGACUUUGCCUGUUAGUGCUCCCAUCUGAGGUCUUUCUAUAUAUGUUGAAUCAUAUAUGCCCAGCAAUAUGGUCUUGUCUUCCAGAGGGAUACCCAGGAUCCCUGAAGGAACUUGUCUGUCCUUCCGUGUCGGGUGACAAGGCCCAGGCUGAGGGUAAAGCUGAUGGGGCCGAGGCCGUCAGAGCAGCAGCGCCAGGGCUGAGGCGACAGGCACAGCCACUGUCCCAACUGAUGUCUUUGGGCCCUACACCACCACCCACCUGUGAAGGACCAGGAAUUAGAAUGGGGAAAAUCUCAGAAGUGGAAAAAGAUGUACAGUGAUUGAAAGGACUUUAUGAUGCAGACUUUAUAGUUAUUAUGUAUACACACAUUAUAUGUUCCCCCAGAAUUUGUAUCUUCCGGGCCUGUUCACCUCCCUGCUCCUCUGUUUCUCUGCCAAUUGGCUGGAGAAGCUGCAGCGAGGGCACAGCCUCCAUUCGCCCCUUCUCUCCCCAGUUCCUCCCACGCUCCUCCUCUUUUGCUCGUGUCCCUAUCCUGGUUUGUCCCCCCGCUUGUCCAUCUCAUGCUCCGCCCUAUGUUCUGACCCUUUCCCCUCCCGAGCUGAUAAAAGACCGGGUGCACGUGUGAAUAAAGUAUUCUACCUGCAUCCCA